GUGACUGUGGCUCAAUUGGAAGAGUAGUAGUUUCGCAAUCCAAAGGUUGUGGGUUCCAUUCCAGCUUUCUCCUGCCACA